rnacentral:rRNA from 1 species
UACGGAGGGUGCAAGCGUUGCUCGGAAUUAUUGGGCGUAAAGGGUAGGUAGGUGGUCUUAUUUGUGUGGGGUGAAAGCCUUGGGCUUAACUCAAGAAGUGCCCCGCAAACGGUAAGACUAGAGUCUUGGAGAGGCUAGCGGAAUUCCCGGUGUAGCGGUGAAAUGCGUAGAUAUCGGAAGGAACACCUGUGGCGAAAGCGGCUCACUGGACCAUAACUGACGCUGAGGCGCGAAAGCUAGGGGAGCAAACAGG